rnacentral:rRNA from 1 species
GACGAACGCUGGCGGCGUGCCUAAUACAUGCAAGUGGGACGCAAGGGAACACACUGUGCUUGCACACCGUGUUUUCUUGAGUCGCGAACGGGUGAGUAGCGCGUAGGUAACCUGCCUAUUAGCGGGGGAUAACUAUUGGAAACGAUAGCUAAUACCGCAUAAUAUUAAUUAUUGCAUGAUAAUUGAUUGAAAGAUGCAAGCGCAUCACUAGUAGAUGGACCUGCGUUGUAUUAGCUAGUUGGUAAGGUAAGAGCUUACCAAGGCGACGAUACAUAGCCGACCUGAGAGGGUGAUCGGCCACACUGGGACUGAGACACGGCCCAGACUCCUACGGGAGGCAGCAGUAGGGAAUCUUCGGCAAUGGACGAAAGUCUGACCGAGCAACGCCGCGUGAGUGAAGAAGGUUUUCGGAUCGUAAAGCUCUGUUGUAAGUCAAGAACGUGUGUGAGAGUGGAAAGUUCACACAGUGACG